CCUACGAGCGGCAGCAGUGGGGAAUAUUGCACAAUGGGGGAAACCCUGAUGCAGCGACGCCGCGUGAGUGAAGAAGUAUUUCGGUAUGUAACGCCCUAUCGGCAGGGAAGAAGGAAGACGGUACCUGACUAAGAAGACCCGGCUAACAACGGGCCAGCAGCAGGGGUAAAACGAAGGGGGGGAGCGUUAGCAGGAUCCACUGGGUGUAAAGGGAGCGUAGACGGCCAUGCAAGCCAGGGGUGAAAGCCCGGGGCCCAACCCCGGGACUGCCCUUGGAACUGUGCGGCUAGAGUGCGGGAGGGGCAGGCUGAAUGCCUGGUGUCGCGGUGAAAUGCGUAGAUAUCAGGAGGAACACCGGCGGCGAAGGCGGCCUGCUGGACCGCGACUGACGUUGAGGCUCGAAAGCGUGGGGAGCGAACAGGAUUAGAUACCCCAGUAGUC
rnacentral:rRNA from 1 species